GGCUCAUUAAAUCAGUUAUCGUUUAUUUGAUAGUACCUUACUACUUGGAUAACCGUGGUAAUUCUAGAGCUAAUACAUGCUAAAAACCCCAACUUCGGGAGGGGUGUAUUUAUUAGAUAAAAAACCAAUGCCCUUCGGGGCUCCUUGGUGAUUCAUGAUAACUUCUCAGAUCGCAUGGCUUUACGCCGGCGACGGUUCAUUCAAAUUUCUGCCCUAUCAACUUUCGAUGGUAAGGUAUUGGCUUACCAUGGUUUCAACGGGUAACGGGGAAUUAGGGUUCGAUUCCGGAGAGGGAGCCUGAGAAACGGCUACCACAUCCAAGGAAGGCAGCAGGCGCGCAAAUUACCCAAUUCCGAUACGGAGAGGUAGUGACAAUAAAUACUGAUACAGGGCUCUUUUGGGUCUUGUAAUUGGAAUGAGUACAAUUUAAACCUCUUAACGAGGAACAAUUGGAGGGCAAGUCUGGUGCCAGCAGCCGCGGUAAUUCCAGCUCCAAUAGCGUAUAUUAAAGUUGUUGCAGUUAAAAAGCUCGUAGUUGAACCUUUGGCCUGGCUGGCAGGUCCGCCUCACCGCGUGCACUUGUCCGGCCGGGCCUUUUCUUCUGGAGAACCGCAUGCCCUUCACUGGGUGUGUUGGGGACCAGGACUUUUACUUUGAAAAAAUUAGAGUGUUCAAAGCAGGCCUUUGCUCGAAUACGUUAGCAUGGAAUAAUAGAAUAGGACGUGCGGUCCUAUUUUGUUGGUUUCUAGGACCGCCGUAAUGAUUAAUAGGGACAGUCGGGGGCAUCAGUAUUCAAUUGUCAGAGGUGAAAUUCUUGGAUUUAUUGAA
rnacentral:rRNA from 1 species